CGUUAGCGGCGGACGGGUGAGUAACACGUGGGUAACCUACCUAUAAGACUGGGAUAACUUCGGGAAACCGGAGCUAAUACCGGAUAAUAUUUCGAACCGCAUGGUUCGAUAGUGAAAGAUGGUUUUGCUAUCACUUAUAGAUGGACCCGCGCCGUAUUAGCUAGUUGGCAAGGUAACGGCUUACCAAGGCGACGAUACGUAGCCGACCUGAGAGGGUGAUCGGCCACACUGGAACUGAGACACGGUCCAGACUCCUACGGGAGGCAGCAGUU
rnacentral:rRNA from 1 species